GACGAACGCUGGCGGCGUGCUUAACACAUGCCAGUCGAACGGAAAGGCCCCUUUGGGGGUACUCGAGUGGCGAACGGGUGAGUAACACGUGAGUAACCUGCCCUUGACUUCGGGAUAACUUCAGGAAACUGGGGCUAAUACCGGAUAGGAAUCCUUGCUGCAUGGUGGGGGUUGGAAAGCUUCGGCGGUUUUGGAUGGACUCGCGGCUUAUCAGCUUGUUGGUGGGGUAGUGGCUUACCAAGGCUUUGACGGGUAGCCGGCCUGAGAGGGCGACCGGCCACAUUGGGACUGGGAUACGGCCCAGACUCCUACGGGAGGCAGCAGUGGGGAAUAUUGCACAAUGGGCGGAAGCCUGAUGCAGCAACGCCGCGUGCGGGAUGACGGCCUUCGGGUUGUAAACCGCGUUCAGCAGGGGCGAAGCUUGUGGUGACGGUACCUGCAGAAGAAGCACCGGCUAACUACGUG
rnacentral:rRNA from 1 species